GUGAAUCAUCGAAUUUUUGAACGCAAAUUGCACUCUCUUCAGAGAGUAUGCCUGUGUGAGGGUCAGCCUAAAAAAGAAUCGACGUAGUCUCUAUGUCGCGGUGGCAUUCGUCGGAAAGUGGGGCAUCUUAAACCGUUGGGUUUUAUGCGGCUUAAAAGUAUCUUUAAGUUUUCACGAACGUU
rnacentral:misc_RNA from 1 species